CCCUCCUCCCUUUCCUCCAUAUUCUUUCUUUUCUCAUCCAUUUUUCUCCAUUUUGCUACCCAUCACCUUUUUCUUUUUCAUUUUUGCUUUCUUCCUCCACUAUAACCGACCCUAUCACCACCAAACACUGCACCUCUUAGCCACCAUAGCUCUUCCUCCUCGUUCUCUUCCCUGUCGCCGCCCAUCGUCGCCAUGACCACCACCGC
rnacentral:lncRNA from 1 species